GCCCAGCACCGAAGACUGUGGGCAGUUGUCCACUAGUCAAUGUGGUGUUCAGGUUGUUCCGGCGGUGUCGCUGCUCCACCCUAAGUCCAUGAAUGAGUAUGGUAAAUGGACAUGGCCCGCAGAGGGUGAAAGGCCCGUGGGGGUGGAGAUCAGGCAGGCCAGUGACGCCCUGGAUAAACCUUGGAGUCGGGUUGUUUGUGAUUGCAGCCCAAAGUGGGUGGUAAACUCCAUCCAAGGCUAAAUACUAGCACGAGUCCGAUAGCAAACAAGUACCGUGAGGGAAAGUUGAAAAGUACUUUGAAGAGAGAGUAAACAGUGCGUGAAACCGGCCAGAGGUAAACGGGUGGAGUUGAACUGCAAGCUCUGGGAAUUCAGCUGGUGAAUAUGGUUUGAGCUUGGUCAAGUCAGUCGGACUCGGUAGCUUGUGAGGCACUUAGCAAGUGCUAUAGGCUGCCGGUGUUCUUCGGGCUGAUUCGCCAGUGCACUUUCUCAGAGUGGUCACCACGACCGGCAUUGCUGUCUGUCUGAUGGGGUUAAACCGGUUUUGCAUUGUCCCUGUGGCUUUGUGAGAUCGGGAUGGCAGGUAGCUCGUGGACUUGCUUUUGGUUCGCUGUGAGCGUGGU
rnacentral:rRNA from 1 species